CCUACGGGUGGCAGCAGUAGGGAAUCUUCCACAAUGGGCGAAAGCCUGAUGGAGCAACGCCGCGUGGGUGAAGAAGGUCUUCGGAUCGUAAAACCCUGUUGUUAGAGAAGAAAGUGCGUGAGAGUAACUGUUAACGUUUCGACGGUAUCUAACCAGAAAGCCAAGGCUAACUACGUGACAGCAGCCGCGGUACUACGUAGGUGGCAAGCGUUAUACGGAUGUAUUGGGCGUAAAGGGAACGCAGGCGGUCUUUUAAGUCUGAUGUGAAAGCCUUCGGCUUAACCGGAGUAGUGCAUUGGAAACUGGGAGACUUGAUUGCAGAAGAGGAGAGUGGAACUCCAUGUGUAGCGGUGAAAUGCGUAGAUAUAUGGAAGAACACCAGUGGCGAAAGCGGCUCUCUGGUCUGUAACUGACGCUGAGGUUCGAAAGCGUGGGUAGCAAACAGGAUUAGAUACCCCUGUAGUC
rnacentral:rRNA from 1 species